ensembl:lncRNA
GGCUACUGAGUCGUUGGCAGCAGUCACCAGGGAGUUCCAACCACCAACGGAGUGGUUGGAUAAAGGCAGUUGGCCGUUGGUUUGAUUCGGGGUGUGUGCGCGCCCAUCUACUUACAUACACAACAUAUUGGCGACGAAGAAUUACUUUUCUUGGGAUUCCACAACCUCCUGCUUUCCUCGACACUCCUGGGGUUAAGGGAGAAUCCUCCUCACGUGUAAUGGCCAAGUGGACCGAAGAAAUGGAGGAGCAGCUGAUUGCACUGGUGGAAGAGAGACCACCGUUGUACAACAUCACGCUACAGGGCUAUUCCAAACGGAAUAGGAAGGAUCAACUGUGGCGUGAGAUCGAAAGCGAGCUCCAUCUAUCAGGCAAAGAAGUUCGUAGGAAAUGGGAUAACCUCCGUACGACCUACAAUCGCUUUAAAAAAACGGGCCCGAGGACGACGAGACAACAGUGGACCCUCGAUCGGAUGCAGUUCAUUGAGCCACACACCAAGAGGAAGGAGAACACCUCCAACCUCAAUCGCAGGGAAUUGUGUGAUGCGGGGGCGCCUGAGGGGGCGAGCAUGGUGACCGAUUCCUCUUCGGAGGGCAAUGGCAGCACACUACCAGAGGAGCCGGAGGUGGACAUCCCGCUGGCUGGCUCCCCGACCAUCUGUGAGGGUACACUCCCUGGGGUUUUGGAGUGCAGUUUGACCUCCGGAGGUACUGACCAACGCCAGCGUCAGCCCGCAAAGCGGAAAAAGAAGCGUGGGGAUCGGGCCGUGAAUGAGGAGGUGGUGCUCAUGCAGACCAUCGGCAAAACCCUGGAAAGGAUGGCAACAGGAGCACCACGGCAAGAGGAGCACAACGACUACAUUUCGGUGUGCUGCAAGCGGAUUGAACACCGGCUGCGAAUGCUCCCGCAGCAUCAGCUCGCACAGUUUGAGUAUGAGAUGGACUGCCUGCUCUACAGGUUUUCCCAGAACCAGAUCCAGGAAACUGACUGAAAGGACCUUACUCCUCUGGCAACGGACUGAAAGGACAUAAGUCCUCUAUGAUAUUUAUAUUUGUGCCUUUUCCCUUUUUACUGCUCUGGAAUACGGUACACCACUUUAGAUAAAAAAAUUUAAUAAAUUAUAAGCUGUUUUCUUCCUGUCUCCUUUUUUCUAUAUUUGAACAUAGGCUAUAUGCAGGGGUGUUGUGGUAAAAUAAGAUGUGGGUAAUAUAUGAGGAUGGCAGAUAUUGAAUCCCGAUAGUUGGUAUUUUUACGCUGAAUAAUUGUGAUUUAUUCCUCCAACAUCUGGAACUUCAUCGCCAGUUCCCGACACAGAAACUGAUAAGCUCCUUUUGCCUGCCGCUGUGGGAUCCACGACUUCACCCACGACUAAGUAUUGUAUUCCACAAACUUCUUUGGUCAAACGAAUAAUGAGAUAAUUACGUGCACUUUGUUUUCUAAUCAGAUCAUCUGCAUUACCUUUGCCAUUUCCUGUUUUCAUGUUGUGGGUAAGUUUGUUGCAGAACAGGAGCCACACACAACGUGCAAGAUGUUGCUGUGCAUAAUCUUACAGUCCUUAGCAUUGCUCCCCCUUCAAAUGUGUCACAGACCCGACGUCUUACCUGUACUGUGUCUCUUCACAUAAAAGAUGGUCAGACGUUUACCAGAGAUCUGCUUGUAGAUACUGGUUCAGCAGUCUCCAUACUUCCAGAGCACAUUUGCCAGAGCACAUUAUGUGCCUCUUACAAAGCUUACAGUUAGAUUAGCGAUGUACAUGAAGAAACCUAUUACUGUCCUAGGGUAUACAAACCACACCUCCUGACUGCCGCUUUGCAAUUACUCUUGUUGACUACUAUCGAUGGCCUGAGAUUGCCUUCUGCUCAGCUGUAACCAGGGGCAAUUCUAGGUUCUGACUUGGAUGGAAAUGGGUGUGAACUAUAAUAAUCAAUUUGAGGUAUAUUCAAUUUUCUUUGGGUAAUUUUCAUUAAAAAAUGACCAUAUUUCUCACUUUU